UACGUAGGCAGCGAGCGUUGUUCGGAGUUACUGGGCGUAAAGGGUGUGUAGGCGGUUUUCUAAGUUUGGUGUGAAAUCUCCCGGCUCAACCGGGAGGGUGCGCCGAAAACUGGGAGACUAGAGUGCGGGAUGGGAGAGUAGAAUUCCUGGUGUAGCGGUGAAAUGCGUAGAUAUCAGGAGGAAUACCGGUGGUGCAGACGGCUCUCUGGACCGCAACUGACGCUGAAACACGAGAGCGUGGGUAGCAAACAGG
rnacentral:rRNA from 1 species